rnacentral:rRNA from 1 species
CUACGGGUUGCUGCAGUCGAGAAUAGUCUACAAUGGGGGAAACCCUGAUAGCGCGACGCCGCGUGGACGAAGAAGCGUUUCGGCGUGUAAAGUCCUUUUCUUUACGAGCAAUGCCUAAAAAGUUAAUAGCUUUUUAGGAGAGAUAUUAGUAUUGGAAUAAGCUCCGGCUACUCCGUGCCAGCAGCCGCGGUAAUACGGGGGGAGCAAGCGUUGUCCGGAAUCACUAGGCGUAAAGGGCAGGUAGGCGGAUCAGUAAGUUAGAUGUUAAAGGCAUCGGCUCAACCGAUGUAAGGCAUUUGAUACUGCUGAUCUAGAAUUAGGCGGGGGAAGACGGAAUUCCUGGUGUAGCGGUGGAAUGCUUAGAUAUCAGGAAGAACACCGGUGGCGAAGGCGGUCUUCUAUACCAUAAUUGACGCUCAACUGCGAAAGUGUGGGUAUCGAACAGGAUUAGAUACCCGCGUAGUC